rnacentral:rRNA from 1 species
ACUGAAACACUGGUUCCCAUACAAUAACCAAAGUCAAGCAAUGUAGAGUCUGGUCAGUACCUAGAUGGGUGACCACUUGGGAAUACCAGUUACUGUAA